UAACCAGGUUUGUAAGCAAUUGUUACGAGACCACCAUUGCAACAGGGAUGGCCCUGGGUGAUGGUCUCAGGAAGGGGCUGAUCCCCUCCAGGCCAAAUUUGGGGCCAUCUCCCUGUUUUUGGAAACUUUGGGGCCCUGGAUCUCUGGCAAAAGGCAGAGAAAAGCAUCAUUGGGAAAUAUUACUCAGAUGUGGAGUGGUCCACCCACCUAAGGAUGGCUGGCUUGGGGAAGAAAGCUUCAUGCUACCCUGGAAGGAGACAGCCCCUGAAUCAGAGAGGCUGAAGGAGUGGCUGGGACUUGUGGCUGCUUCUCUGCCCGCCUGUAAUGUGCAUUCAAUUUCCCCCGUUUCUAAAAGGAGAACCAAGGUAUUUGGGCCAAGGUAUUUCCAAGGUCUUUUCCAGCUCUGAGGUUUUCUGAUUCCAGAAUGAAGCGAGAAUUCUGCCCAGGCUUCUCUUAGACCCACGACACAGAGGAUCCAGGAAACAUGAAGAAAGAACCCUGGAAAGCCUCACACAGGCGGGUCACAAACCUUCCGUUCCCUCUGCCCAUGGAAAUACAAAGCUCUCCCCCGACUUCUGUUACUUCCAGGUGGAGCCCCAUCCUGCACUACAUCAACCCCAGUGUGAGUCUUAGACCAUCUCUUUGCUCUGCACACGCCAAGUCCUCAAGCCUUUGAAACUUCAGGAGAUGCUCCCGAAGAUAUUCUGGGGCUCACAGGGAGGAGCCCGUCUUCUCCCUCGCACCCCUUCUCCCCUGCUUACGCCCAAGUCUUAUCCAUUUCUAAGGCAAAACACCUUCCUUGUACCGAUAAUUUCUUCGGAGCACCUCCCAGUCUCACCCUGCCUCACAAGUACCUAUUAAGGUGCUUACAAUUUCCCCCUCCCCACAAAGCAGCUCUCUCCUUCAGAGGAAUCCUGGUGUCAGCUUUAAUUUAUACACCUUUUCUACCUUUAAUCCAUAGAUGGAGAUUAUAACUGGGUAAGACCUUUUAACCUGGAGUCUCCAGCUCCCAAUUUGUCAGACAGGGGUACACCUCCCUCCUACUGAGACAGGGAAGUUAGUCACUUGCCCAAGAUCGUGCCAGUAGGAAGCGAUGGUACUGGGAUUCUGCCCUGGUUCUGUCCUGGUCUCCAGCCCCUUCUUGGGGGCUUUCUGGCCUGGGUCUGUGCCCACAGGCCAGUUCUCUGUUAGCAGGCAGAGCUGUGGGUGGGGUGACACAAUUGCACUGUCAAUGGGUAGAAGGUCAGGAUCUGGAUCUGAAGGGGUGGGGUGUCUAGUGGUGAGACGCUCUGGUCAGGUGAGGCUGGCACCACCCUCCUGCUAUCACACCUCAAGGGCGGCAGCAUAUCCUGCCAUCUUCAGGGUGGUGGCCCUAGAGAGAAGGGCGCUGUGUCUGAGUGCCUGGAUUCUCCCUCCUUCUCCCAUUCCUCCGUUCCCCAGCCCAGUGAGUGAGCCCACCCAGCCACUUCAAAGUCCUCUGUAACUCCCGUUGCUCACCCUGAUGGCGGGAUGUUCCCUGAGUCUUUUUUGGCCCCUGGAGACAUUGCCCAACACCAUGUUUGUCAAAUGAUCGACAUGGUCCAGGGUUUUGAAAUAAAGUUCUUAAAGA